GAUGAAGAACGCAGCGAAAUGCGAUAAGUAAUGUGAAUUGCAGAAUUCAGUGAAUCAUCGAAUCUUUGAACGCACAUUGCGCCCCCCAGUAUUCUGGCGGGCAUGCCUGUUCGAGCGUCAUUUCAACCAUCAAGCCCCCGGCUUGUGUUGGGGACCUGCGGCUGCCGCAGGCCCUGAAAACCAGUGGCGGGCUCGCUAGUCACUCCGAGCGUAGUAAUACAUCUCGCUCAGGGCGUGCUGCGGGUUCCGGCCGUUAAAAAGCCUUAUUUACCCAAGGUUGACCUCGGAUCAGGUAGGAAGACCCGCUGAACUUAAGCAUAUCAAUAAGCGGAGGA
rnacentral:misc_RNA from 1 species